UACGUAGGGUGCAAGCGUUGCCCGGAUUUAUUGGGCGUAAAGGGCGCGUAGGCGGCUCGGCACGUCCGUUGUGAAAUCGCCCGGCUCAACUGGGCGGGGUCAGCGGAUACGGCCGAGCUUGAGCAAGCUAGGGGGCAAUGGAAUUCCCGGUGUAGUGGUGGAAUGCGUAGAUAUCGGGAGGAACACCAGUGGCGAAGGCGGCGCACUGGACCAUAACUGACGCUGAGGCGCGAAAGCUAGGGGAGCAAACAGG
rnacentral:rRNA from 1 species